rnacentral:rRNA from 1 species
AUUAGAUACCCUGGGUAGUCCACGCAGUAAACGAUGAGCGCUAACUGUCCGGGCCAAGCGAGGCCUGGGUGGUACAGUGAAAACGUUAAGCGCUCCACCUGGGGAGUACGCCGGCAACGGUGAAACUCAAAGGAAUUGACGGGGGCCCGCACAAGCGGAGGAACAUGUGGUUUAAUUCGAUGAUACGCGAGGAACCUUACCCGGGCUCAAACGUAAGCGGAAUAACGGUGAAAGCCGUUAGCUAUUUAUAGCCGCUUACGAGGUGCUGCAUGGUUGUCGUCAGCUCGUGCCGUGAGGUGUCGGCUUAAGUGCCAUAACGAGCGCAACCCCCAUCGCCAGUCGCUAACAAGUAACGUUGAGGACUCUGGCGAGACUGCCGGCGCAAGCUGCGAGGAAGGCGGGGAUGACGUCAAAUCAGCACGGCCCUUACGUCCGGGGCGACACACGUGUUACAAUGGCAGGUACAGAGAGAAGCCAUCCCGCGAGGGAGAGCGGAACUUGAAAGCCUGUCUCAGUUCGGAUUGGAGUCUGCAACCCGACUCCAUGAAGCUGGAUUCGCUAGUAAUCGCGCAUCAGCCACGGCGCGGUGAAUACGUUCCCGGGCCUUGUACACACCGCCCGUCAAGCCAUGGGAGCCGGGGGUGCCUGAAGCGCGUGACCGCAAGGAGCGUUCUAAGGCGAAACCGGUGACUGGGGCUAAGUCGUAACAAGGUACC